rnacentral:rRNA from 1 species
CCUACGGGAGGCAGCAGUGGGGAAUAUUGCACAAUGGGGGAAACCCUGAUGCAGCAACGCCGCGUGAGUGAAGAAGUAUUUCGGUAUGUAAAGCUCUAUCAGCAGGGAAGAAGAUGACGGUACCUGAGUAAGAAGCCCCGGCUAACUACGUGCCAGCAGCCGCGGUAAU